CUCUUAUCCAGAGCGGCGGAGGGACUAGGCCCUGCGAUGCCCGGCAACCAGUAAGCGACGAGCUUGCAAAGGUGCUACUUCCUACAGACGCGUGAGGCGGUCUGAAAGAUAAGAG
rnacentral:ncRNA from 2 species